CCUACGGGUGGCUGCAGUGGGGAAUAUUGGACAAUGGGGGCAACCCUGAUCCAGCCAUGCCGCGUGUGUGAAGAAGGCCCUCGGGUUGUAAAGCACUUUCAGUGAGGAAGAACGCCUGGUGGUUAAUACCCAUCAGGAAAGACAUCACUCACAGAAGAAGCACCGGCUAACUCCGUGCCAGCAGCCGCGGUAAUACGGAGGGUGCGAGCGUUAAUCGGAAUUACUGGGCGUAAAGCGCGCGUAGGUGGCUUGAUAAGCCGGUUGUGAAAGCCCCGGGCUCAACCUGGGAACGGCAUCCGGAACUGUCAAGCUAGAGUGCAGGAGAGGAAGGUAGAAUUCCAGGUGUAGCGGUGAAAUGCGUAGAGAUCGGGAGGAAUACCAGUGGCGAAGGCGGCCUUCUGGACUGACACUGACACUGAGGUGCGAAAGCGUGGGUAGCAAACAGGAUUAGAUACCCCGGUAGUC
rnacentral:rRNA from 1 species